rnacentral:rRNA from 1 species
GGGGAAUAUUGGGCAAUGGGGGAAACCCUGACCCAGCAACGCCGCGUGAGGGAAGAAGGUUUUCGGAUUGUAAACCUCUGUUCUUGGUGAAGAGAAGAAGACGGUAGCCAAGGAGGAAGCCCCGGCUAACUACGUGCCAGCAGCCGCGGUAAUACGUAGGGGGCGAGCGUUGUCCGGAAUGAUUGGGCGUAAAGGGCGCGUAGGCGGCCAUGCAAGUCAGUAGUGGAAGUCCAUUUUUCAAGGGUGGAAGUGCUAUUGAAACUGCGGGGCUUGAGUAUGGGAGAGGUCAUCGGAAUUCCCGGUGUAGCGGUGAAAUGCGUAGAGAUCGGGAGGAACACCAGUGGCGAAGGCGGGUGACUGGACCAUAACUGACGCUGAGGCGCGAAAGUGUGGGGAGCAAAC